AUAUCUGAAGCUGGGUUCCAGACGCCCACAGAAGCAAGCCUACAGAAUUCUAUUCCUCCCCUAGGACCCUCUAUCCUGGGCCACCCCACUGCAAGGAACUGGAGGUUCCAGUCGCCGCAAGCCCUUCUGAUCGGGUCUCCCCGCCCAGCCUCUCCUGGUUCCAGUGGGCGUCCACAUGUUCUCCUUCCGCUCACCACCACAUUGGCAUUUUCCUAGUGCAGCUGCCUCCCCGCCCCCAGCUCUGGAAGCCCUUAGCCAACAGGGCAGAACUGGCCUCUGUGUUAAAUCCCACAGUGGGGGCUGGUGGUCUCCCAUCCCUCCUGACACACCUGGGACCUGGGCAGGAGCGUCACCUGCCAGCACAGCAGGCCCUCCUUGGCCAACUGGACUCUUGGCAGGACAUUCUCCAAUCAUCCAGUCCUUGGCCUUGGCAGAGGCUCACUCCUGCAGCGCACUGCAUUGUCCCUUGAGAGAACCGUUCCUGCUGCUGGUUCCUCCAGCACUGCAGGGACCUCGGCUUUCCACCUUCAGCUAAGCCACCAUGGACGCAGUGUCACUUCAGUGCAGAAGCGAGGGCAGCCUUAAGAUCUGCCCCCUGCCAGGUCCCCAAACCAGGCCCCUUGAUGCCAGAGGAUAGACGUCCUCAGCUUAUAUUUAAAUGUAUUUAUUUAUUUAUCCAUUCAUUCCCUGGCAGAUUCGGCCCUUUGCAUCCAGUGUAGGAGACAGAUGUAGGCCCAGGUCGUUAGAGAUAAAGGCGGUGCAUACUGAGACCAGAGAGGAAAAAGCAGUGAAUUCUGAGAGGUCAGCUCCCAAAGGGCUUCACAAAGACGCAGGAGGGGAGAGUGCGGAGGGAUGUUUGGGGAGACGAGCUAGAAGGAGGGAUGGGACAGCAGGUGGUGGGCUGUGGAUGCUGUGCAGAGGAUCUGGACUCUUCGGUGGAUGGAGAGAUGUUAGAGACGCCAGAGGAAGGAGCAAUGUGAACGGACUGAGGGUGUGGUUGGUGAAGACGAUGAUGACCAUGGGAUGCGAGAAGCCCAGUUUGGAACAGAGAACGACCGAGCAGCUCAGUAACGCCCUGGGGGACCGGUCUAAGUUGAGUUAG
rnacentral:lncRNA from 1 species